GUGGUAUGCUUAGUGAACACUGUCGGAAAGACGCAAAUGACGCACCUCCAUUCACAGACGCAGCGUGACUAGACGAUCGCUCAUAUUCUCCAAAAGGCAGAUAUUCUCCUUCAGAAUCAGACUAGCGAUGACGUGUGUGUGU